GCCUUUGGUCUCUUUCUAUAUAUAAUGUUUUAUACCUGUCUCGUUCUAUUUUGAGAUCAUGUGCACUGAUUCUAAUUUUACAUAUGGCACUUCUCAAUUGAAAAUUGUUUAAAGAUAGAUACAUUUCUUUCGAAAAACAAGUUUUAAGUUUAAAAUAAGUAUCUAAUUUACUACUCUGUGUAUCUGUUCUUUUUGUGUUCCAAAAUUUUACAAAACUAUUACAAAGUUUUUGCUUAACUGACUUGAUAAAAAAGUUGAGCUUCACCUCCAAAUUAUGAAUAUUCAGCUUUUUAAAAAUGAAAUGUAUGGAUGAAUACCAGCAUUCAAUAUUAUUAUUAAACAUGUUUUUGUUACACAUAUAGGUAUCAUAC
rnacentral:lncRNA from 1 species